UACAGAGGUCUCAAGCGUUGUUCGGAUUCAUUGGGCGUAAAGGGUGCGUAGGCGGCGCGGUAAGUCGGGUGUGAAAUCUCGGAGCUUAACUCCGAAACUGCAUUCGAUACUGCCGUGCUUGAGGACUGGAGAGGAGACUGGAAUUUACGGUGUAGAGGUGAAAUUCGUAGAGAUCGGGAGGAACACCAGUGGCGAAGGCGCCUAUCUGGCUGACAACUGACGCUGAGACUCGAAAGCAUGGGGAGCAAACAGG
rnacentral:rRNA from 1 species